UACGUAGGGUGCAAGCGUUAUCCAGAUUUACUGGGCGUAAAGCGCACGCAGGCGGAUGAUUAAGUCAGCUGUGAAAGCUCCCGGCUCAACUGGGAAGGGUCGGCUGAAACUGGUCGUCUGGAGGGCAACAGAGGAGUGUAGAAUUGCGGGUGUAGUGGUGAAAUGCGUAGAUAUCCGCAGGAAUACCAGUGGCGAAGGCGGCACUCUGGGUUGUACCUGACGCUGAUGUGCGAAGGCUAGGGGAGCGAACAGGAUUAGAUACCCUGGUAGUCCUAGCAGUAAACGAUGUACACUAGGUGUGGGGGGUAUGACCCCCUCCGUGCCGUAGCUAACGCAUUAAGUGUACCGCCUGGGGAGUACGGCCGCAAGGUUAAA
rnacentral:rRNA from 1 species